rnacentral:tRNA from 1 species
GCCUGGGUGGCUCAGUCGGUUAAGCGUCUGACUUCAGCUCAGGUCACGAUCUCAUGGUCCGUGAGUUCGAGCCCCGCUUCGGGCU